AUGAUGACAUUUACGUGUGGCCUUGCCAAAAAGUUUGGGGAAAAUACAUCCAGUAUUCCAUCGCAGUUUAUUGAAAAAGUAUAUGGGUACUUUGGACAAAAUGGACACCUAGAAUUAUUGUUUGAGUUAUUUCAGAAUUGUGAUGAAAGAAGCACAGAAGAAGAGGACGAAGAAAAGGGGGGCGCCAUGUCAUGGAACCAAGUCCCAGGGCUGAAUUUCCAAGCCCUGGACUUGGAGUCAUAACAUAAAUAAUCCUGAAUGUCUCAUGAAAGCACCUGGCAGAAGAAGAUAGAAGAGCAUGGGAACUCGGGGUUGAAAGUAUAAACAAUUAUAAUUGGUAGACUGUGUGGGAAUAGUAGUAAUGUGAUACAGGGGGUGGGGUUUUGAUGAUGACAUUUACGUGUGGUGUGACGUUGCAACAAAGGUGAUAAAAAUGAUUGUAUGUAAACAUUAGGUCAUUCUCGACUUUUUCCAAGUCAUGUAUUCUUCAAUAAAAAUUGGUUUUCCAAUAUAUCUGUGGAAGGUCCAGGGUGGGAGAAAGAACUCUUGUCUGUUGGAGGCAAGUGUGAAUGUUGUUAUUAAUCACCUUGAUUAGUAUUUGAUGGCCUUGCAGCUUCAAGGCCUAGCUGAUUCCUGCCUGGGAGGUGUUAGCUGGCCCUGAUUGUUUCAUCCCUGGAAUUCUUCUGUUUUCAGAGUGUUGUUCUUUAUUUACUGUCCUGAUUUUAGAGGGUUUUUUUAAUAUUGUUAGCCACAUUUUGUUCAUUUUCAUGGUUUCCUCCUUUCUGUUGAAAUUGUCCACAUACUUGUGGAUUUCAAUGGCUUCUCUGUGUAGUCUGACAUGGUGGUUGUUAGAGUGGUCCAGCAUUUCUGUGUUCUCAGAUAAUAUGCUGUGUCCAGACUGGUUCAUCAAGUGCUCUGCUAUGGCUGACUUCUCUGGAUGAGUUAGUCUACAAUGCCUUUCAUGUUCCUUGAUUCAUAUUUGGGCAAGACUGUGUUUGGUGGUCCCUAUGUAGACUUGUCCACAGCACCAUGGUAUACGGUACACUCCUGCAGGGGUGAUAAGAUUCCUCUUGUCUUUCGCUGAAUGUAGCAUUUUCUUAGUGGGUCUGUAGGUAGUUUGUAGGUUGUGUUUCUUUAUCAGCUUCCCUAUGCGGUCAGUGGUUCCCUUGAUGUAUGGUAACAAACCUUUUCCUCUGGGUGGAUCUUUGUCUUUACUCUCAUUAUUUGUUUUGGCCUUGCAGCUCUUCUGAUGUCUGUGGUGGAGUAUCCUUACAUCCAUACAUCUCUAUAGAUGUGGGCGAAACAUCAGGAGAGAAUGGUUCUGGAACAUGGCCAUAACGCCCAGAAAACUCACAGCAACCCAAAGAGUAUUUCCAUCACUGCCAGAAAUUGAUGACUAUAAAUAGUGAUUGAUCUGGUCAAAUGUGGAUUCCUUCAUUUGGCUGUGACUGUAUUCUCAGGGAAUAUUCAAGUUAUUGGAGGUCAAUGUCUAAUAUUAUAUAUAUAUAUAUAUAUAUAUAUAUA
rnacentral:lncRNA from 1 species